GAUGAACGCUAGCGGCAGGCUUAAUACAUGCAAGUCGAGGGGCAGCGCAGUGUAGCAAUACAUGGGCGGCGACCGGCAAACGGGUGCGGAACACGUACGCAACCUUCCUUUAAGUGGGGGAUAGCCCAGGGAAACUUGGAUUAAUACCCCGUAAUAUUAUGAAGUGGCAUCACUUUAUACUUAUAGCUCCGGCGCUUAAAGAUGGGCGUGCGACUGAUUAGGUAGUUGGCGGGGUAACGGCCCACCAAGCCUGCGAUCAGUAACUGGUGUGAGAGCACGACCAGGCAAACGGGCACUGAGGCACGGGCCCGACUCCUGCUGGAGGCAGCAGUAAGGAAUAUUGGUCAAUGGACGAAAGUCUGAACCAGCCAUGCCGCGUGGAGGAUGAAGGUCCUCUGGAUUGUAAACUUCUUUUAUUUGGGAAGAAACCCACUGUUUCUACGGUGGUUGACGGUACCAGAUGAAUAAGCACCGGCUAACUCCGUGCCAGCCGCCGCGGUAA
rnacentral:rRNA from 1 species